rnacentral:rRNA from 1 species
AUUGAACGCUGGCGGCAUGCCUUACACAUGCAAGUCGAACGGCAGCGGACCUUCGGGUGCCGGCGAGUGGCGAACGGGUGAGUAAAGUAUCGGAACGUACCUUUCAGUGGGGGAUAACGUAGCGAAAGUUACGCUAAUACCGCAUAUUCUCUGAGGAGGAAAGCAGGGGACCUUCGGGCCUUGCGCUGAUGGAGCGGCCGAUAUCAGAUUAGCUAGUUGGUGGGGUAAAGGCCUACCAAGGCGACGAUCUGUAGCGGGUCUGAGAGGAUGAUCCGCCACACUGGGACGGGGACACGGCCAAGACUCCUACGGGAGGCAGCAGUGGGGAAUUUUGGACAAUGGGCGAAAGUCUGAUCCAGCCAUGCCGCGUGAGUGAAGAAGGCCUUCGGGUUGUAAAGCUCUUUCGGCCGGGAAGAAAUCGUGUGGGCUAAUACCCUGCAUGGAUGACGGUACCGGAAUAAGAAGCACCGGCUAACUACGUGCCAGCAGCCGCCGUAAAAC